rnacentral:lncRNA from 1 species
AACAGGAAGAUGAACUUUGUCUAGAUGUUGACCAUUGAUCAAAGUGGGAUCUACAUGAAAUUCAUUAUAAUCAAUUACUACUAUGAAAUUAUUAUCUAUACAGCGGUUGCAUUGUAAAAAUUCUCAAAUGUAUGGCAAUAGAAAAAGGAAUACAAGCCAUUAAUUGCAAACCAAGACAGUGUUGCUUUGAUUUUUGCAUGAAAAACUGCUACUCAUCUACCUUCAAGGGAUGAGAUGUGACACUGAUUUCAAAAAAUUUACUUAUACCAUACGAUCUAAUUAGUAUUUUUGUCUAUUUUUUAAUAAUGUUUUCUAAUUUUCCAUUAACAAAUUUAGUUUAAUUGAAUUAAUUGUAUGCUAUACUGUUAAUUACUUUUCUUAAACAUCGCUCCCUCAACCCUUAUUCAUUAUUUAGGUUUCGAUUGUUUUAUUAAAAUUAUUUUUAUAUUUAAAAUAUUUUUAAAAAAUUAAUUAAUGAAAAAUAUUUUUUAUAAAAAAAUUAAAUUAUUUCAGGAAAAAAAAAGACUUUUUUAAUAUAUAUAUAAAUUUAUUAAAAUAAUUUAUUUUUAAAUUAAAAAAUUAAAAAUGAGUUAUUUUAUUAAAAUAAUUUUAAAUAUAAAUUAUUUUCACAUCUAAAGAAAUCUUAGACUUAAAUUAAAUUCUAGUUAGCAUUAACUUUUAAAUUAAGUAUGUCAGCAUAAUUUAUAAUAAAUUUAUUAUGAAAAAAAAUUAGGAUAAAAUUAUUAAAACGAAAAAAUUUAUGAUUUUUUAAAAAAAAAAUAUUAUGACUUUCGGAGGGAUUGAAAAGUCAAGAAAUUUAUUUUUUUUUUAAUAAUAUCAUUAUGUUUAGAAUAUUAUGAAUUUGAAUAAAUACGAUAAUUAAACUGUAGAGUUUGAAUUUAUUUUUUUAAAAUAAUCUCUUUUAUAAUUUUGCUACUUUAAUAAUUUUGAAAAUAUAAUUUUUUUUACCUUUAAAAAAAAUUGAUCCAACAUUUAAAAUCUGUAAAUUAAUCUAUUCAUAUGCUUACGAAAAAGAUUUUUUUUAAAAAUUAAUUCCAAUUUAAUAAAAUGCCUUUACCAUAGCUUUAGUGAUCUGUCCAAUCAAUCAAUACCACAUAAAAUAAUUUAAAUACGAAAAAUAUUUUUAAUAUUUUUUAAAAAAUCAAUUUAUUGUGUGUUCUGUAAUUAUCAUUUAAAAAAUAAAAAUAUUAAUUAAUAGUGUUAAAAAAUUCUCAAAAUCUAAAAAUAAAUUAUUUUUCUUCAAAAAUAAUUUAAUUUUUUAUAAAAAAUAUAUUUUUAACACCUUUUUAGUGUUUAAAUUUUAAAAUAUUAUUUUAAUUAUAGCCCAUCGAACUAAUGCUGAUCUAAAUUAUUUAAAAUUAAUAUUUUUUACUUAAUAGAAUUUAUAAAACUUUUCCUCUUUAUAUUUCUCAUAUUAUAUUUUUAAUAUAUUUAUGCAAAUUAAUAACUGCUAGGCUUCACCCCUCCAAGAAAAAACUAAAUUUAAAAAAAUAGUAUUUUCCCAAAGUUCAUGAAACUCUCCCGAUCAACCCAGUACUCUCGGCCCUGAUCUGAAUACACAAAGCGGACCGGAUCGUUCAUAGGCCCAAAUUCAGUUCAGUGAUGUGGCUUGAAAAAGAACAACAGAUCCGGUCACUUCGCAACCCUGUCUGCAAGCGCACCAAAAGAAAUUAAACGAUCGUCUAAUGUGAAGAGGGUGUCUAUGUUUUCGUACGUAUAAACCUGCAUAACAUAGACAGAUUGCACUAUUGAAAAGAGGUCAUUAUGCGUUAUUAGAAGAUAAAGGGGAAGAAAUAAAAAGAGAGAAACACCCUCCUCUUUAAACAAACUUACACAAUCAUAAAUCCUAUUUUCUAAAUCUCAAAAUAUUACAAAUUAUUUAUGAAAUAAAUAUACUUGUGCUUACUGCAGUAAAUAAGAUUUACAUGAGUAUCAAAGGAAGAACAAUUAUUUAUAUCUUUAGUAAAAACAAAUAAUGUAAUCAUAAUUUCUGGUAAAAAUUAUUAACGAAAAAAUAUUAUUUAUAUAUAAAAUUUAAAAUGAUAAUAAAAAUAAUGACAGUUAAAAAAUAAAAAUAGAAUAAAUAUAUAGUAAAAAUAAUAUAAAUAAAUAAGUUAAUUUGUGUGUAAAAUAUCAUACGAGAAUAUGAUAGAAAUAAUUUUAUUUAAUUAUAAUUUAAAAAAUAAUGAAAUUAAAAAAUUUAUAUAUAAAAAUAUUAAUAAAAUUAUCAAAAUUUAAAAAAUUACAUUCUAUUUUAAAAAAAUAAAAUUAUUUUUUAAAAAUAACUUUACUUUUCUUUAACUAAAAAUAUAUUUUUCGUUAACAUUUUUUAGUGCAUGAAUCGUAAAAGAGGAAACAAUAUUUACCUGAAAAAUUAUUUUCAUAAAACAACCGAAGGGUUCAUAUGAUAAUCUAACCAUGCAUAACUUCAAAAAUAUAUUUAUAAAAAAAUAUUUGAUAAUUUUUCCCCACUAUAACUUUUAUAUUAUAAAUUAAAUAUUUUCUUUUUUUAAGUGUCAAACUAUAUAUUUUUAAAUCUGUUUAUAGCCUAAGAAUCCUUUAUCAAAUGAUUAAUUUUUAUUCAAAAUAAAAAACAAGGUGAAAACUUGCCUUUUCCUUCUUCCAACAUUGUCAGAACAGAUUUCCUUUUUUUUCUUUUAUCGCUGAUCUGAAAUAGUAUUUUGAUUUCGAUCAAAAUACUGUUUUUUGAUCUAUUUGGCUUGAAAAGCUCCUUCACUGCUUUCAUCCUCCUUCAAAUUAGACCUCUGCUUCUGGACUUAUAAUUUACCGAUAAGUUCACCAUAUUUUAGUCACAUCACAAGAUUUUUCAAUAGCGGGCACCUUUAGUUUAAAUUUUAAUGGUAAAUUAAUUAGCAUUUUCUCCACAACUUUAAAAUAUGAAAAUUACUCUAAUCUUACUUACUAAAUCCAUCAAUUUUGCGGCAUAUUCUGUUAUCGUUUUACCUUCUUUCAUCUGAAGCAUCUCAAAUUACCUUUUUAGAGUGAGAAGCAUUUCAAAUUACUCUAAUCUUGCUCCCUUUAAGCUCAUUCUUAUUGGAAUUUCACAAUUCAUAAUUCUAAUAAAAAUCAUAUCCGUCAAACUAAUAUGCAAACACGUCAAAACUCUUGACUUUUUCCUCUUCCAUUUAUAUCCGUCAAACUAAUAUGCAAAUACAUCAAAACUCUUGACUUUUUUGUCUUUAAUUCUUCAUGAUUUUUUAUUUGGUUUAAAAUUGGAUUAAGACCAAGGCCAGAUGAAUAUGCUUGGUUUCAACAACCUCCCACAAACUCAAAAACUCUAAAUAAGACUUCAUUUUGAUUACCUAAAUAUAAUAAUUUUCUCCAUUACAAUAGAGGACCCGUUCCCAUAAAAUAAUUACUAGACAACAUUUUUUGUUGCUCUAUUUUUCAGAUUUAAAAAUAAAAAAUUCACUUAAAAAAAAAUUCACCAUCACAAGUCCGUUAGAAAAUAAAAUAAAAAACUCAAAUUAUCUCUCUUGCCUUUCAUAAAAAUCUAAAUUUUUUUUACUCAAAAAUUAUAUGUAAUGAAUUUUAAAAAUAUCAAAAUAAAUAUUAUCAUAAAUAUCUUGCAAAUUCAAAAGAUAUAUAACUCCAAUUUAAAAUAACUACAUAAUUAUCUUUAAUAACUCAUUAUUAUUUAAUGAUACAGAAGGAUUAAAUGUUAAAUUAAAAUAAUAAAAAAAUAUUAUUAUUCUUCAACAGUACUUCUUGCUAGUCAAACGAACAUGGCUGAUAUUAUUGGAAAUCAUAGACCCAAUGUAUGUAAAAAAUAUAAAUUUGUGGUAGAGAAACUGAAGCCGGCUGAUUGUGGACAAGGGCAAAGUUGAGGCGAAGAGAAGAAGAGGAUCAGGUAGCAACAUACCUAGAUAGCAAGUUUUGGGUUUCUUUCCUUGAAGUUUCUACGGACCAACUAGGCGACGACUUCGAUUUAGAUAUCAUUUUCGAGGAAGAGUCCUGUUGGCUUGUCUAGCACGGCACUUGUUGACUUUGAAGUGACACGUUUGGUCAACCAAAUUACGUUUUGAUUUUAUUUUUUUAAUUUAAAAAAAUACACGGUAAAUUUAUGAGAAAUUAAAAUUUAUGAGUAAAUCUGAGAGCUUUUCCACUGAUUUCUAAUUCUCAUUUCAAAAAAAAAAAAUUUAUGAGAAAUUACAUGAGUUUUACGCUGUUAUUAAUAAAAUAUAUUAAUUUUAAUUUAUAAUAUAAAAAUAUAAUAUUUACAUAUUUAAUUUAUCGAUAAAUAUAUUUAAAUAAAUUUAAAAAAUUUAAUAUUAUGCUUUUUAAUUUUUAAUUUUUAUUUAAAAAAAAUAAAAUAUAUGGAAGUUAAUAGGUGACAAAUAUUGGCCACAUUGGUCAUCAACUCUCUGUAUAUAUUACCACCGUCAUUAAUUUCAUAAAGAAGCAAAGGCCCUCUAACCAAAAGCCCUCAUCACCACCGCCUUCUGUGUAUUAGGAUGUCUAUAGAGAACCUCAACAACUCAAUCGAGCAUGACCAGCUCACCAUUUAUCAAGUAGUGAGAGGGGAUGUAGCUGAAUUAGAUGCAUUACUUCAACAAGAUGAGCUCAUUCUUGAUAGAGUCACUGUUUCUUCCUUCCAUGAAACUCCCUUACACAUUGCAGCCAUGCGAGGUCACCUUCAGUUUGCUCAAGCACUCCUCAAUCUGAAGCCCAAACUAGCCGAGGAGUUAGACUCUCUUUGCCGCUUGCCUCUUCACUUGGCUUCUGCAGAAGGCUACUCCCAUAUUGUUAAAGAGUUGGUAACUGUGAAUCCUGAUGCUUGCUGGGCACGUGAUCAAGAUGGAAGAAUCCCACUUCACUUGGCUACCAUGAAAGGAAGAGUUGCAGUUGUGAAGGAAUUAGUCAGCGUUUGUCCUGAGUCAAUAAGAGAGAAGAUGGAUAAUGGAGAGACAAUCUUGCACUUAUGUGUUAAAUAUAAUCGGUUGGAGGCUUUGAAAUUGUUGGUGGAAACGGUACGAGAUGAUGAAUUUGUCAGUGCCGCGGAUGAUAAUGGCAAUACCAUUUUGCACCUUGCAGCCAUCCUCAAACAUGUGCAGGUUUGUUGAUCUCGUCACUGCUAGCCACAUUAACUGGAAAAAUAAACCCAAAAGUGAUGAUCUUUUUGCUUAUGCAGAUUACAAAAUACUUACUUUUGGAGACUAGCAUCAAAGAAAAUGCAAAUACCUUGAACAAGAAUGGAUUCACAGCACUGGAUGCUCUAGAGCACAGUCCAAUGGACUCAAAAGGCCUGGAAAUAAAGAUCAUUCUUCUAGAAAGAGAGGCCUUGCUGCGAGAACCUGUAAAUGGUGGAAUAAUUACUUAAAGAACGUAGGCAAGAGAUUCGAAGAGGCACGAGGCAAUAUUCUGAUAGCGGCUACUCUAACAGCAACUAUAGCUUUUUAAGCUGGGGUAAACCCACCCCAAUUUAAUAAAGACCAGAAUGCAACUACAGCUUCAGCUGCUUCUUCUUAUCUUGAUUCUUAUCUUGGUAUUCUCCUUCAGGGGUCAGAAACAAAGUUCUGGUAUUGCAACACUGUUUCUUUGAUGCUCUCUCUUAUUAUUAUUAUGCUGAUGUUUAGUGGAAUUCCUUUUAAAAAUAAGAUUUUAGGAGUUUUCCUAGUAAUUAUCAUGUGCAUCGCAAUCCUAUAUAUAUCACAUACAUAUUUCUAUGCGGCGGCAUCAAACAUGAGGCUGGGAGAAAAUGGUUGGACUUUGGCAGGGAAAACAUUGUUGAUAAUUCCCACUAUAAUUCGUUUUUUAUUGUGGUUUAUUAUUUUGAUACAUUUUGCUUCCUUUUUGAUCUGGCUGUUUCAGAAGAUCUACCGAUGCAUUUCUAAAUUAAUAUCGAGUUUAUGUUUANNNNNNNNNNNNNNNNNNNNNNNNNNNNNNNNNNNNNNNNNNNNNNGAGAUAAUUUCUAUUAAUUGCAACCUUUGAGCUUUAUGCAAUGAAAGGCACUCCAUGAAAAAGAGAGCGUGGACUCGAUCUUGGCCUGAAGGUGCUUUCUUCGAUCACAUCUCUUCAUUGCUUCUUUAUUGUUUUUUCAAAUUUCUCUUUAAUUUGUAUGAAUUUAGGGAGCCGGAUCCUUCUAUCGAAUUAAAUUUCAGACAUUUUACAUUCGAUUUCCAGUCACCGAAGCAUCGCAUGAAUCAAACUAAAUAUUUACUUUGAGAUCAAUGAUAAAAUUACUGUAUAUACUAUAAAACAAAUGAAAUCAUAAAAUAAAUGGUACAUUAAUUCAAUUAAGACUAACAAGAAAGUCUUACAUGACAGACUUAAUGCCUUCCAUAAGCUGCAAACCUGAGAGGUCCAAUGUUUUCCUUCUCAGCCAAAAAAAUGAACAACUUCGUCCAUUUCCUAUCCUCAUAGACCAUUCCCGAAUUACAAAACUUGUGCGCCCAACCUCACCUAUGAGCAAACUACUUGGACUUGGAUUCAAAGAUCGGAUCCAUUGACAUAUUUAGAUGCAGGUUCACCUAUUUAUCAGAGGUUAAUUUCAAGUGUCUGACUUUUAAUAUCAUCUGGGCAUCAUUAUCCAACAAAAGUUACCCUGCCUCUGGCCACUCUUUCGAUAUUCUUAUUCACGCGUUACCAUGGAUGUCAAAAAUAAAACUUGCCUUCCAUGUUUGGUAGAAAUUGAGAGUUGCAGGCAGUUCAAAAAACACAGUGGAGUUUUGUAAUUGGAAGUAGCAAAGCUUUGAAACACCAACUCCCACAACAAAAUGAUGCACUUCACUCUUCACUCUUCAUAUGUGUUUUCUUAUUUGGAAAGUGACAGCAAUCCAUAUUUGAGAACGCAUCUAUAAUUGUGUGCUGCAGUCAAUAUAUGGAGAAUACCAUAACCUCAAGCUCAAGCCCAACAAAGCUCCCAAGAUCUUAUAUAUCUCUUCGGAUCUAGGAUGUGUUUUGUCAGCAGAGUAGAACUGAUAAACUUCAUUAUCAACCUCAAUCCAACUGCAACCUGGAGUCUUGUAAGCAUUAUGUUGUUUUAACAUUUUUCUUACCAUGCGAGACUCAUCCCACUUCCCUAACUCGCCAUAUAAAUUUGCUAACAUUAUACCAUAGCCUCCAUUUUUCGGGUCAAUUUCUAUAAGCUUUUUAACAGCAAAUUCUGCCAAAUCUAUUUGACCAUGUACUUUACAUCCAUUAAGCAGAGAACCCCAAACAACUUCAUCAGGUUCAAUCUUCAUUCCCCUCACAACUUCCAAGGCCUCUUCAAACCUUCCAGCCCGGCCAAGAAUAUCUAUCAAGCACCCAUAAUGUUCAAUCUGAGGUUCAAUCCCAUAAUCCUGAGUCAUCAUUAGGAAAUAAUAAUGUCCUUUUUCAACCAGCCCUCCAUGGGUACAAGCAUUCAACAAACCAACAAAAGUAACCUCAUCUGGUCUUACAUCCUCUCCAUGUUGUAUCAUCUCCUCGAAUAUUCCUAUCGCACUCUCGCCAUGUCCAUGAAGAGCAAAACAGUUUAUCAUGGAAUUCCAAGUGGUCAAGCUUUUCUUCGACGUCAUAUCAAAAACCCUUUUGGCCUCUUUUAAACUUCCACACUUCCCAUACAUAUCCACCAGGGCGUUGGACAUAAACGAAUCAAAACCAAGGCUAUAUCUAUACACGUAUCCAUGGAUCGAUUUUCCAAGCUGAAGCAUGCCAGUAUGGCCACAAGCAGAGAGAGCACACACAACUGUAACCUGAUUGGGCCUGUUAUGACGGUGUUGCAUCAUCUUUCUAAAUAGCGAAAUAGCCUCUGAAAACAACCCAUUUUGUGUACAUCCAGCAAUAACAGCAUUCCAAGACGGAACAUCUCUCUCAGGCAUUUGGUCAAAAAGAGAAAUAGCAUUUCCAACCUGGCCAACUCUAGUAUAUCCAGAAAUCAUAGCAGUCCAAGACACAACAUUCUUCUCAGACAUUUCAUCAAACAAUUGCCUUGCAACUCCAAUAUCAGAUGAAGACCUGGAAUACGAAUCAACAAGAGCAGUUUGAACAACUGGGUAUUGGACAAAACCCCAUUUAGCUAUCUGGGCAUGCACCAAUUGCGUAGUCUGAUAGGAUUUCAAGACGUGGGGGAAGAUAAAAUGAUUGGGUUUAGGGUGUCCUCUACGAACCAUGUUGCGAUAAAAUUCAAAGGCAGAAAGGUAAUCCAGCUUGGAGGCAUAAGCAGUAACCAUGGCAGUGUAGAGAUAGAUAUUGGGAAAGCAGACAUGAUCGAAAACAUAGCGAGCAUAGCUAAGAUUGGAGAUUUUGAGAAUAGAAAAGCGGAGGAGCUUGAAGACGUAGAAUUGGGUUUGCGAGUGGCCGAGAACAGUGAGAAAAGAUUGGAGUUGUUUGAGAUGAUUGAGAUGAUUGCAUUUGGAAAGGAUUGCUAAGACUAACUGAUUUAGAUUCUUAUUUGGUGGAUUCAAAAUAUGGUUGGACUCCAUUCUGCUUGUGCAUUGUUUGAAACUCCUUGUUCGCGGGAGGAGAUUCAGAGUAUUGAAAUGACAAAUUUAUUUUCUUAAUUGUGGUAAUUUUAAAAAUUACUAAGUAUUAAAUAAAUUAAUAAUAUUAAUAAAAUAUAUGUAUAAACAUAUAAUAAUAUUUUAUUUACGCAUGUUAAAAAAAUAAUUUAUUUAAUUAUAUUUAUUUUAAAUACAUUAAAUUUCAUUAAAUAUUAAAGAAUAUUUUAAAAAUUCUUAAAAAUAAAAUAAAAUUAUAAUAAUUAAUUUAUAUAUUAUUAUAAUUUAAAAUAAUAAAAAAAUAAAAAUUAUAAAAUGAAAAAAAAAUUAUUUGUUUAUAGUUUGUAUAUCUUUAUAAUAAUCUUACUUUUUUUUUUAAGUUACAAUAAUCUUACGAGAAAAUCGGCUAUAAAAUUUAAAAUUCCAUACGUGUCAUAUCUAAAUAUUACUUUAAAUUUUUUUUUUUUUUUACCUCCAAAUUCAUUGUCAGACGCGUCUUUUUGUCUCAGAAUAGGCAACGAAAUACUAAUCUAACGCGUUCUGCUCUCUUUAACUUCUUCAAGCUCAGUUGCAGUUACACAAGCAUUCUUUCAUCACUUAUCUAUGGAGGCUACUUCUUCAACCCCUCCUUGCAAAUAUGAUGUUUUUAUUAGCUUUAGAGGCAAAGAUAUUCGUGGGGGUUUUCUUUCCCAUCUCUUUGAUGCUUUGCAGCGAAAACAAAUCAAUCCUUUCAUGGAUGAAAACCUUCGUAAAGGAGAAGAGAUCUCACCUGCUCUCUUGGAAACAAUUCAAGAUUCUUAUGUCUCAAUUGUUGUUUUCUCUCAAAAUUAUGCAGAUUCUCCAUGGUGCUUGGAUGAGCUUGUGAAGAUACUUGAAUGCAAGGAAAUUUUAGGACAAUUAGUCCUACCAAUUUUUUACCAUGUAGAUCCAACUGAUAUUCAAGAUCUCAUUGGGAAUUUCGGCGAGGCAUUUGCGGUUGCUGAGCAUGGAGAAGAAUUCAAAGGUUGUUUAGACAAGGUGGAUAAGUGGCGUCGUGCUCUGAUGGAAAUAAGCAAUUUAUCAGGAUGGGAUUCAAAGAAAAUCAAGUAAUUCUGUUGAUUUUUUUUACUAUUCUUGUUUUUGUUUGCAUGUAUAUGUAAUCGUGUAUUAUCAAUUUACUUAGAAGCGAGUCUAAGCAUCUAAGGGUGGUUUGCUUUGACUUACUAGCAUUUGUUCUUCAUAUAUAUUAGGUCUGAAUCCAAACUAGUUGAGGAAAUUGCCAAUGAUGUUUGCAAGAAAUUAAGUCUCAUCUCCUCAAGUGAUUCUUACAAUGACAACUUUGUUGGGAUUGAAUCACGUCUGAAGAAAGUGGAAUCCUUGUUAUGUAUUGAAUCGAAAUAUGAUAGAAGAGUAAUAGGAAUUUGGGGGAUGGGAGGUAUUGGCAAGACAACUAUUGCUCUUCAAGUAUUGAAUCGAAUUAUGGAUAAAUUUGAUGGGCACUAUUUUGUUGAUAAUGUCAGAGAGAAGAUGAGAAAACAAACACAUGUUUUUUUAGAUGAAAUCAUUAACCAAUUGUUAGGAGAAAAGGAUUUACGUGUAAGCACAUCUCUGCUACCCCCUUCCACUAGGAGAAGACUUCAGAGUAAAAAGGUUGUCAUUGUUUUUGAUGAUGUGGAUGAUCCAAACCAUCUAAAGCUUUUAGCAGGAGAGUGUGCUUUGUACCACAAUGGUAGUAGAAUCAUUGUAACAAGCAGAGAUAGACAAGUACUUAAAAAUGUUUGUUCUGAGGGAUACAUAUACGAGGUUGAAAAAUUAACUGAUGAUGAAGCUCUUUGUCUCUUUAGCUUGUAUACCUUCAAACAACUUCAUCCCAAGAAAGGAUAUGUGGAAAUAUCAAAGAAGUUGAUAACAUAUGCUCAAGGUAUUCCGUUGGCUCUUGUAAUUUUAGGCUCUAAUUUGUAUGAUAAGGGGAUUGAAGAAUGGGAAAGUGAGUUGGAAAAAUUGAAAGAAAUUCCUGAUAUGAAUAUUCAGGCAGUUUUGAGAAUAAGUUAUGAUGGACUAGAACGUCAUGAAAAGAGCAUAUUUCUUGAUAUUGCAUGUUUCCUUAAAGGCGAGCCUAAAGAUCGUGUUGAAAGAAUAUUUGAAGGUUGUGGUUUCUUUCCAAGAAGAGCAAUAAGCCGUUUAAUUGAUAAAUCUCUCAUAACUGUUUCAAAUGGUAAGGUAGGCAUGCAUGACUUGCUACAACAAAUGGGCAAGGAUGUUGUUUGUGAGGAGUCCAAACAACUUGGGACACGCAGCAGGUUGUGGAAAUAUAAGGAUAUUUGUCAUGUAUUGACAAGAGACAAGGUAUGGACCAAAAGAAUUAAUGUGCAUAUUCUUAAUUAUACAUACAUAUUAUUUAUAUGCAGUUUUAAGAAUUAAGUGCGGUGCCUAUAAUGUUUGUUGUUAUUUUCUUAGGGAACUGAAAAUAUUGAAGGCAUAUUACUUGAUACGUAUGGAAAUGGAUAUUUGGAGCUAAGUCCCACAGCUUUCAUGAACAUGUGCAAUCUUAGAUUCCUCAAAUUCUUCAAUGUUUCUACAUCCGGACCAGGACGAGUGCUUCUGCCUAGUGGCCUUGAAUUUCUACCAAAGGAGCUAAGAUAUCUUCAUUGGGAAGGGUACCCUUUGAAAUCCUUGCCAAUAAAUUUUUGCCCGAGAAAUCUUGUAGAACUUCGCAUGCCACACAGCAACCUCAUCCAACUCUGGAAUCAAGAGAAGGUUAGAGUUAUUAUGCUGCUUUAUAAAAUUUAGCUACAUUGUGCAAAGUUAAUUAGCUUCUUCUAAUUUUAUUGACGUUUUGAUUACAGGCUCUUGAAAGUUUGAAAUUUUUAGACCUCAGCUGCUCUUUUGAGUUAACUAAAGUUCCAGACUUGUCUAGUGCCCCGAAUCUUGAGGUUUUAUGUUUGAUAGGAUGUAGCAACUUGAUUGAGAUUCCUAGCAGCGUUGGCGAGUGUAAAUGUCUAAAAGAAAUUGAUCUCGUAUGCUGCUCAAAACUGCAUAGUAUUCCACAAAGCAUCUGCAAUUCGAAAUCUCUUACACGCCUUGAUAUCACAGGCUGUAGGAAUGUCAAAGCAUUGCCAGAGAACAUGGGGGAUCUAGAAUUGCUGAAGAACCUUUAUACAUGUGGAAGUGGAAUAAAAACAUUGCCAUCCUCCAUCAAUCAAUUGAGAAGAUUGGAAGAGUUAAGAUGUGUGGGAUGUAAAGGUUUGACAUUGCCUCCUUUGACAGGACUGUCCUGUGUAAGGGAAAUUGAUUUAAGUGACUGUGGUAUAUUAGAAAUUCCCCAGAGUCUUUGGUUUUUAGUGUCAUUGGAAGAGUUACAUUUAGGUGGAAACAAUUUCAAGACGACACCUGCAAGCAUUAAACAUCUAACUGAGUUGAAGGAGCUUUUAUUAAAAGGUUGCAAGAGACUUAAAUGUUUACCAGAGCUUCCGUCAUGCUUAAAAGAUUUAGAUGCAUCAGAAUGCACAUCUUUGGAAUCUGCAUCAACUUCAUUCCUUUUCUUAGAACAUGAUGAUGAAAAAGAAGCAAAACGACUUGAGUUUCGUAAUUGCAUCAAUUUGGAUAAGAACGUACAUGAUAAAGUAAUGGAGGAUGUAUUGAAGACGCAUCUGUUAAAACACAAGGUAUGCCUUACUUUCUCUGGUCUUACAAGAAUCAACCCUUUUGAGUGUACAAUUUUUGUUUAUUAUUAUUAGUUUUCAUAAAAUAAUUUAUAAUUUCCAUGGUACAGAUUGUUAAGUUAUGCAUAGCGGGGGUUGAAGUGCCUGAAACGAUGAGAUAUAAGAACAAAAGUGGAUCUUCUCUUUCAUUCAGACUAGAUCAGGGAAAUUUGACUGGUUUUUCUUUAUGUGCUGUUUUUGAUCCAAAAAAUUAUUCUCAUGAUCAUAUUAUAUUCAAUUGUUGCACAGCCAACUUCAUCAAUAAAUCUGGACAUAGCAGUGAAAUUUUCAUUUGCGAGGUCCUGUUUUCUUUACAUCAUCCUUUUUAUUCAGAACACGUGUUCCUUUGGAAUAAACUGUUGGACAUGGAAGAGAGUUUCCUUGAAGCUUCCUUUCAAUUCAGCAUUGCCAGGCACUCAUUCAAGCCAACAUGUCGUCUGGAUCGUGAUUACGAUUCUAUAAUAAUGUGUGGAGUGCAUCCUAUAUUUCGAGAGGAUCGUCUUUCCAGAGAUAAAAAGAGAAGCAGAAUUGAAGAAGAUAAGGAAGAUGAACCUUCUCUUCAAAGAUUGAAAAACAAGACCGAGAACCUUCGCAUUCGCACGAUAAAUCAUCAGGAACAGGAAGAGGAACUUUGUCUUGAUGUUGACCAUUGAUCAAACUACAUGAAAUUCAUUAUGAUCAAUUACUACUAUGAAAUUAUUAUCUAUACAGCGGUUGCAUUGUAAAAAUUCUCAAAUGUAUGGCAAUUGACAAAGCAAUACAAGCCAAUAAUUGCAAACCAAGACAGUUUUGCUUUGCUUUUUGCAUGAAAAACUACUACUCAUCUACCUUCAAGGGAUGAGAUAUGAUCGACGCUGA